UACGUAGGGUGCAAGCGUUAAUCGGAAUUACUGGGCGUAAAGCGUGCGCAGGCGGUUAUGCAAGACAGAUGUGAAAUCCCCGGGCUUAACCUGGGAACCGCAUUUGUGACUGCAUAGCUGGAGUACGGCAGAGGGGGAUGGAAUUCCGCGUGUAGCAGUGAAAUGCGUAGAUAUGCGGAGGAACACCGAUGGCGAAGGCAGUCCCCUGGGCCUGUACUGACGCUCAUGCACGAAAGCAUGGGGAGCGAACAGG
rnacentral:rRNA from 1 species